UCAACUACUUGUACGCUAAUGGCGUAAUGUAUAAUUGGAAUUGAAUUAUUUCUGGAUUUACAAAGAAAAACAGCAAGACUUGCCGCAGCCAAAAGUAUAUCAACCGCUUUUAUAGCUUCGGAAAAGAAAGAAUCAUCAUCCUGGACAAUCAAGAACCAAUGGAUCAGAUUUUCUUUCACCAAAACAUUUUUGUAUGCAUUGAAAAAGAAGUCAAAGUUACUUCUAUGAAAGAAUUACGAAACUUCUUAAUUUCUGUUAUCCUAUUUUGUUGGAGAUAGUUCUUGAUCGAUAAAAAAAGAGGCUAUACGCGAAGCGUGUGACGUACAGUAUGAAGAAAAGAAUUGUGAAGCUGUGACAGAUGAAUGUCCAAAAAAUAAUCUUUUAUAGGACCAAAUCUUUCUGUAAUAAUUGGAGCAUUUAAACCCGCAAAAAUUGUCGGUAUUCCCAGAGGUUUGAAAAAACUUGUUUCCUCAAAAAUGAAGAGUCUACGGUACACAGAACUUAUAUAUUAUAUUAUAUAGAAAUCCUUGGAAUGCGCCACUUCUGAGUCUAUUAAAAGUCUUUACAAUCAAUUACUUACCAUACAUGGCAGUAGUGUAAUAUAAAUUUGAAUGGAAUUAUUUCAGGACUUAGAAAGGUAUCAUAAUCGGAUAUAUGUGUAAUCGUCUUUAAUAUGAAUGGGUUUUUGAUAUAAUUGUACUUUGGACGGCUCAUGCUUCCUUAUCGAGUGCCUCUUUGUCAAGAGCUAACAAAGUUUCAUUUCAAUUUAAUCUCGAUAUCGUUCUUUGUUUUAUUUCAAUAAUCGAUUCGUUUACCCUUUCUCUCUCUCUCUCUCUCUAUAUAUAUAUAUAUAGUAUAUAAUACAUAACAGAAAUGAGUAACUAAGGGUUUACAAAAAAACAUUAUCAUAUACAUAUUCAUAUACGCCUCAAUGCAAUUACGACUUACAUCUUGCAUCAAAAAAUGACAAUAGUCGACUAUAAUUAGUGAAUUUCUUAAUCAGUGGUAUUACAUCUUACGUUGAUACAUUUGUGAAGAGUUUUGUUAUCUACGGCCAGUUGAAAGGCAUUUUAACUAUUAACCGAAGUAUUGAAAUCUUUGAUCAAAAGUCUUAACGUUAACGACAAACGAAUAAAAGAUUGUAUUAGAGUUUAAUUCGAUAUCUUCCAUUGUAUCUUCCAAUAUAAUAAUGUAAAGUUUAUUAACGAGAAGUAGAAUCAUAUAUCUAAUUAAAAAUAAACAACUAAUAGAUUUCGUUCCAUUACACAAAUGUAUAUACAUACAUUUAUGCGUACACAUUAAAAGUAUUGCUAAUAAAAAAUCAAUGGAAUUAUAGAAAACAUUUCAUUGUAAAUUGAUGCCGACAAUAACAAAUACCCUUCAAUAAUGUGUAAUUUUUUCUUUUUCUAUUAAGUGUUAAUUUCUUUGUUAAUCAAUUUAAACAUUUUUAGUUCAUAAUGAAUUCUAUCAAUAACAAUAUCAGAUAUUUAAUUUUGGC